rnacentral:lncRNA from 1 species
GGAGUUUAAAUCUGGGGGUCAGGUGGAUGAAAACAAUUCUAAUAAACUAUCCUGGGUAUUUCUGGAGGGUACUCCAGAAAGCAGAUAAUAGAAUUCUGGAGGUUUUGGUGACAUCCCCAAGGGGAAGAGCCACAGCUCCAGAGCUGGGAACUGAGAGUGUCUGAAGCUGAGGUACGGUAUUCAGGAGCACUUCACGUGGGAAGGGUUCAUAGGGCUGGCAAGCAUAGGGACGAGCACAUUAGGUGUGCUUUGAGCAGUGAAAGGGACAGUGAGAGGAGCAGUGAGAGGGACGAAACCAUCCAGAGGACAUGCAGUGAGGGUGCUCCAGCUGACCCAAGUGUGGGUGCCCUAGGAUAAGACAGAGCUAAAGCAGGUGCCCCCAACUCAUCUACAGUGUGAUAUGCCAGAGUCCUUCCCCUUCGGUCCACAGGGGACAAAAGCCACUCUCAUCUUCAUCAGGCACUCCUGGCCCUGCCUGGCUUUUCCCACCCAACUUGCCUCCUGGCCUCAGCCCCUGUCCCCUUUCCUACCUUGGA